GGGGUAAACAAACAUCGGCGUCGGCCAUGGCGGCCGUGUUGUAGCGGGGAUCGCGAGUCUUUUAUUUAUUGUAGCCCGGUUAAAAUUUGCCGAGUCCACAAGAUCGAGCAGCUUUGUGCCCCUUACGAUUCCUCCGUCGUCUGCUAGAGGCAUUUCGAAGAUUCCAAGAUGAAGACGACGAAGAUCAUCAAAGAGAAGGCGCUUGCCUAGCCUCGCGAUUGAAACGCCGGUUGCGCCGGUCACUACGAGACCGCCGCCCGAUUGUACCGGUCCCAGAUGGGCUGUUGACAUCCAGAAACACACCAACAGAUGGUGGUCAUACAGCGAUUGUGAAGACAUUCCCAUUUGGAUCCACAUUCCUAGUCCACUCAUUGAUAAUCUUUCCUUGUUUCAUCAAUGCCCAAGUAUGCCAGGCGCCAAGUGACUACUCGCAUGUGUUAGUAACGGUGGCAUGCGAGGCUUCAGUAUUGUCGCUGCAGAUAGGGCUCACCCUCACACCAAUGCUGUUUGUGGUGUACCUUUCCAUGGAAUUGUUUGGUUGAUUCCAAUUUCCUAGAAACGCCAAUAUUCAGUUUGGUGGGCCUUGAGUAGAUUCGUCGAGGAGGUCUCGUCUCUUUCCUGGGGGUAAUACCGUGUCAGCUGCUUUGCAUGAGCCACUUGGAAACUGUUCGGACCGCUCUAAAGCACUUGUGAUUGACCUUACCUGUUGUGUCCAUGCUAAUGCUGAAAUGUAAAGUUCACUGAACCAAGUUUUACUAAUGAACAAACACAAUCAGUGGAAAGGUUGAAUGGCUUUAUUUGUUUUCUCGAAGUAUACAGUGUUUCAUACAUAAUACAUGAUGCUGGCAAGGCUACUUUCAUUAGCACGCAGGCAACUUAGUCUACAUUCUGUUUCACGAUAGCUUGGUGAACUGUGGAGGCUACGGCUUCUGCGACCCAGUAAGAAUGUCGGAGCGAGGCACAUGGACGCAUGUCACAGGAGCGUUCGUGUCACUGCGCCAAAUGCAAGGACCACCCGCCAGAACCGGCUGUCGUCUUACAACCACAUGCUCAAUUUGCCCAUGAAUCUGUGGCGGGUGCUAAUGCUAGGGCGAUGUUUUGAGCGGAAGUGGUCGAUUCACGGCUACGAUUGUUUGAACUUCGAUCACAAGCCAUGUUUUUCUCAAAAAAGUGUUGAUCUAUAUUAAGUGUCGCUAAUCAGUAACAUGUGUCUUCGUCUUUCUUCAGUGUCGUGUAGUGUUGCGGUCCGAAGAAUCCGACGGCAACACUACUAAAAGAAGAAGAAAAAACAAA
rnacentral:lncRNA from 1 species